rnacentral:rRNA from 1 species
GGAUGGCAUCAUUUCGAUUAUUAAAGAUUUAUCACUUAAAGAUGGGUGUGCGUAUGAUUAGGUAGUUGGCGGGGUAACGGCCCACCAAGCCUACGAUCAUUAGCUGAUGUGAGAGCAUGAUCAGCCACACGGGCACUGAGACACGGGCCCGACUCCUACGGGAGGCAGCAGUAAGGAAUAUUGGUCAAUGGACGCAAGUCUGAACCAGCCAUGCCGCGUGAAGGAUGAAGGUCCUCUGGAUUGUAAACUUCUUUUAUCUGGGACGAAACGCCUGAUUUCUAUCGGGUCUGACGGUACCAGAUGAAUAAGCACCGGCUAACUCCGUGCCAGCAGCCGCGGUAAUACGGAGGGUGCAAGCGUUAUCCGGAUUCACUGGGUUUAAAGGGUGCGUAGGCGGGCAUGUAAGUCAGUGGUGAAAUCCUAGAGCUUAACUCUACAACUGCCAUUGAUACUAUGUGUCUUGAAUUUCCUGGAGGUUAGCGGAAUAUGUCAUGUACCGGUGAAAUGCCUUAGAUAUUGACAUAGAAACACCCAUUUGCCGAAGGCCGGCUGAACUACGGGUAGAAUUGAACGCUCAAUGCACCUAAAGCCCUCGGGGAUCCAAACC